AACGUACGCUGGCGGCACGCCUAACACAUGCAAGUCGAACGAAGUAGCAAUACUUAGUGGCAGACGGGUGAGUAACAUGUAGGUAUCUGCCCUUUGGCCUGGAAUAACACGAGGAAACUUAUGCUAAUACCGGAUAAGUCUUUACGGAGAAAGCUUUAUGCACCAUUGGAUGAGCCUGCACUUGAUUAGUUUGUUGGUGGGGUAAUGGCCUACCAAGACUGUGAUCAAUAGCUGAUUUGAGAGGAUGAUCAGCCACAUUGGGACUGAGACACGGCCCAAACUCCUACGGGAGGCAGCAGUGGGGAAUCUUGCACAAUGGAGGAAACUCUGAUGCAGCGAUGCCGCGUGAGUGAAGAAGGCCUUUGGGUUGUAAAGCUCUUUCGUCGGGGAAGAAAAUGACUGUACCCGAAUAAGAAGGUCCGGCUAACUUCGUGCCAGCAGCCGCGGUAAUACGAAGGGACCUAGCGUAGUUCGGAAUUACUGGGCUUAAAGAGUUCGUAGGUGGUUGAAAAAGUUAGUGGUGAAAUCCCAGAGCUUAACUCUGGAACUGCCAUUAAAACUUUUCAGCUAGAGUAUGAUAGAGGAAAGCAGAAUUUCUAGUGUAGAGGUGAAAUUCGUAGAUAUUAGAAAGAAUACCAAUUGCGAAGGCAGCUUUCUGGAUCAUUACUGACACUGAGGAACGAAAGCAUGGGUAGCGAAGAGGAUUAGAUACCCUCGUAGUCCAUGCCGUAAACGAUGUGUGUUAGACGUUGGAAAUUUAUUUUCAGUGUCGCAGGGAAACCGAUAAACACACCGCCUGGGGAGUACGACCGCAAGGUUAAAACUCAAAAUGAAUUGACGGGGACCCGCACAAGUAGUGGAGCAUGUGGUUUAAUUCGAAGAUACGCGCAGAACCUUACCAACACUUGACAUGUUCGUCGCGACUCUAAGAGAUUAGAGUUUUCGGUUCGGCCGGACGAAACACAGGUGCUGCAUGGCUGUCGUCAGCUCGUGUCGUGAGAUGUUGGGUUAAGUCCCGCAACGAGCGCAACCCUCACUUUUAGUUGCCAUCAUUAAGUUGGGCACUCUGAAAGAACUGCCAGUGAUAAGCUGGAGGAAGGUGGGGAUGACGUCAAGUCCUCAUGGCCCUUACGUGUUGGGCUACACACGUGCUACAAUGGUAUCUACAACAGGAAAGCGAGACUGCGAAAGUUAAGCAAAUUCCCCUAAAAGGAUACCUCAGUUUCGGAUUGCGCUCUGCAACUCGGAGUGCGUGAAGGCUGGAAUUACUGGUAAUCGUGGAUCAGCGUGCCACGGUGAAUGCGUUCCCGGGUCU
rnacentral:rRNA from 1 species